rnacentral:misc_RNA from 1 species
UCGUCGGCCCGUGAAAACACUGACCCGUGAACGUGUGACCGAAUGCUUGCCGGCGCGGUGUCAUGCCGUGCCGGCCCCCCAGCACCGUGGGCUCAACAUUGAGUCCGCGUGCUGAAUACGGCAUGGGAUUGUGCCAAGGUACACUGGAUGCGGAGGUCGGGGCGACGGCACGAGCAGCGUGCGGCUGCCGGCCAAUGCGUAGGAACAC